rnacentral:tRNA from 1 species
GGGGUUAUAGCUCAGUGGUAGAGCAUUUGACUGCAAAUCAAGAGGUCCCUGGUUUAAAGUCGAGUUCCCCUU